rnacentral:rRNA from 1 species
ACGUGGGUGAUCUGCCCUGCACUUUGGGAUAAGCCUGGGAAACUGGGUCUAAUACCGAAUAGGACCGCAUGCUUCAUGGUGUGUGGUGGAAAGCUUUUGCGGUGUGGGAUGGGCCCGCGGCCUAUCAGCUUGUUGGUGGGGUAAUGGCCUACCAAGGCGACGACGGGUAGCCGGCCUGAGAGGGUGUCCGGCCACACUGGGACUGAGAUACGGCCCAGACUCCUACGGGAGGCAGCAGUGGGGAAUAUUGCACAAUGGGCGCAAGCCUGAUGCAGCGACGCCGCGUGAGGGAUGACGCCUUCGGGUUGUAAACCUCUUUCAGUAGGGACGAAGCGAAAGUGACGGUACCUACAGAAGAAGGACCGGCCAACUACGUGCCAGCAGCCGCGGUAAUACGUAGGGUCCGAGCGUUGUCCGGAAUUACUGGGCGUAAAGAGCUCGUAGGUGGUUUGUCACGUUGUUCGUGAAAACCCACAGCUUAACUGUGGGCGUGCGGGCGAUACGGGCAGACUAGAGUACUGCAGGGGAGACUGGAAUUCCUGGUGUAGCGGUGGAAUGCGCAGAUAUCAGGAGGAACACCGGUGGCGAAGGCGGGUCUCUGGGCAGUAACUGACGCUGAGGAGCGAAAGCGUGGGUAGCGAACAGGAUUAGAUACCCUGGUAGUCCACGCCGUAAACGGUGGGUACUAGGUGUGGGUUUCC